rnacentral:misc_RNA from 1 species
GUAAACUUUAGCCAUGCAACUCUGAACUUGAGUAAUGUAAGCCAUAAAGCAUAAUGACACAAAAGAUAUGAUCAUAUGAAGUGUUAGGGAGUAAAACAUAACAAUGUGAUUUUUUCAAUUAAAAUCCAGAAAAUGUGUUCCUUUGAUUUUUGGUGCAAAAGAUGUCCUCAAAGCAGCCCAUAUUAGCAAAAUCCAUAUGCAUAUAUCUAGGAAUUCAGGGCAGAUCAGUUUUCCAAUGACAACAGAACCUACACAAAUAGAUCAACUUCUAGACAUAUCAUACUACAACCAUAAUCUUCAAUAGAAGAUAGAGUCAAGCACUUACCUGUAAGAGUCAGCAUCUCUA